UUAUGGGGGUACAAAUGUUUAGGUUACAUAUAUUGCCUUUGCCCUGCCGGAGUCAGAGCUUCAAGUAUGCCCGUCCCUCAGAUGGUCGCACCGCAUCCAUUAGGAAUGAUUCUAAAAUCUACAUAUGAUCUUGUCACCUUUUUGCUUAUGAUGUCACACUUCCAGGAAAAUGGACCGAUGCCCCAAUGCCCCGUGAAGGCAGUAGAGAUGGGGUCUCAC